AUUGAACGCUGGCGGCAGGCUUAACACAUGCAAGUCGAGCGAGCGGCGGACGGGUUAGUAAUGUCUGGGAAACUGCCUGAUGGAGGGGGAUAACUACUGGAAAGGGUAGUUAAUACCGCAUACCAUCAGAUGCGCCCAGAUGGGAUUAGCUAGUAGGUGGGGUAAUGGCUCACCUAGGCGACGAUCCCUAGCUGGUCAGAGCGGAUGACCAGCCACACGGGAACUGAGACACGGUCCAGACUCCUACGGUAGGCAGCAGUGGGGAAUAUUGCACAAUGGGCGCAAGCCUGAUGCAGCCAUGCCUCGUGUGUGAAGAAGGCCUCCGGGUUGUAAAGCACUUUCAGCGAGGAGGCGUUACUCGCAGAAGAAGCACCGGCUAACUCCGUGCCAGCAGCCGCGGUAAUAC
rnacentral:rRNA from 1 species